rnacentral:rRNA from 1 species
CGGCGGACGGGUGAGUAACGCGUGGGUAACCUGCCUCAUACAGGGGGAUAACAGUUGGAAACGGCUGCUAAUACCGCAUAAGCGCACAGUACCGCAUGGUACCGUGUGAAAAACUCCGGUGGUAUGAGAUGGACCCGCGUCUGAUUAGGUAGUUGGUGGGGUAACGGCCUACCAAGCCGACGAUCAGUAGCCGACCUGAGAGGGUGAUCGGCCACACUGGGACUGAGACACGGCCCAG